UGUCAUAACUAAGGUGAUUGGACUCAGUAAAACUCAGAAUCCCAGGGAUAGGUAUAAGAUCUUUAUUGUACACAGCGAAUAUUAUGAAUGUGCAAUCCGGUCUCUCUCCGAUCAGAUGUCUGUGGACACAUGAGACAGGGGUUAGGAAGCAGGUAGAAGAAGAUGGUAAUGAGUGGGUGUAAAGAUUCACAUACCAGCGGAGGUAAUUCCAACGUGUGACUGAGUGAGGUAUCCGGAGACUGGGGAGAGGCAGCCGGGAGGGAGACCGCUGGGGUGCGGGAGAAAACUGCUGAACAAAGAAGAUGUUAGUAGAGGAGUACAGACUGCAGGUGGGGGUACCAUAUGGGGUUGACAGCAGUGGGGUAUCCAUGGGUUCCCGAUGGGGUAGGAAAGGUUUAGUCUGUGAUCCAAUUUCCAAUCCUGUUAACAAAUCCAGAGGUCAAAGAGCCAGGUAAUCCAAACACAACCAAAGCAGAGU